CUUACAUUGUACUGGCUAAUUUACUACAUUUGGAGGGUUAACAUCUAGACUUAUCAUUCUUUUUAAUGAAUGGUUGCCUAUUCGUGCUCAUAACCUUUAUUCAGUGUAUGGCAUUUGCAGCUCUUUGGGAUGGUUUGACAAGGCACAUCACAAGCAAAUAUUGGAGGAGCUACUACUCCAAAUGUAUGAAACCAACAUGCUCAGUUAGAAUAAAUUGAGCAUGUACAGGCAAAUGUAUGACAAGUGCCUGAUUGUCCUGCUGUACAGGCAUACAGCUUGAUGGUCUGGUCUUUGAAAGCCCUAGAUCAGAAAUGGGGGAUGUGUGUUUCUCUACACACCUCAUUGACGGUGAUGGGGUUUUCAAUGUCUCCGAAUUGGAGAACUUCAUGAAGGAAGCUAGAUUGGGUGAGUGCAGGCUCUCGUAUGCUGUUGUAUCAAUAAUGGGCCCGCAAAGUAGUGGGAAAAGUACACUUUUGAAUCAUCUUUUUGGCACCAAUUUUAGAAAGACGGAUGCUUUCAAAGGAAGGUGUGCUACUAUUUCUUUAUAUUUGUCACUAAACUUAUGCGGGGCCCGAUGUGGGGGCUGAUGGCCGGCCUCGCCACCAUCGACGCGCAGCCCCACGGAGGCUCCCCUCACACUCCUUACGCGGUCACGGGAAUUGCCAUUGGAGUCUUGCCUUUGGGAGUGGGGCUCCUGUUCUAGGUGCACAGCAGGUGUAUGAGUAAGCCUCGAGGAUUCAGAAGACACAGUUAUCACUUUAAUAGAACCCGGUACGUACCCCUCUAUUUGCACCACUUGAAGGUGCAUACCACAACAUGUGACCUACUGUAUUCUGAAGACUGGUAGAAUUGUAAUCGUAAUGCUAUCAUGCGCAAUUUAGUUUGGAUUAGACGCCGUUCCCAGCGAACCUGGUGAGGCCCCAGCCAUUUGAGAAUUGUCUUCAUUUUUUGUAUGCAAUAUUUAGUUUAAUCAGUGGAUGUUGGGAUGUCGUGGGGAUGUUAUUUGGGCUAUUUUGUGCUGUAAAUUUUGUGCCUGGCUGCAGUGGAACCCGGUGAAAUUGGGUUUGAGUUGGCAAUGCAAGCAGGGUUUAAGCGAUUUAUUUUUGUUGAGUUGGGAACUUGGGAUUCUAAGCACAUGUUCAGUCUUCUCGGAAAAAGAGUUCACGGAAGGAUGGAGGUGUGACAGUUCCAGAGAGAGAGUCUGCUUUGGAGGAGGCUGGUGCAAUGGAUGCGGUCUUGGUGAAUACACAUAAGGUUGAUGAUACAUUGAACUUGUUUGAAGAACUACAGUCCUUGCACUCGAGUGUUGCCACGAAGACUAAAACUUUGCAUGAUGCUUGCGGCCAACUGGGAGCAUGUUUAUGUAGCCAUUCUGAUCAUUUCAUUAUGUUUGUGGAGAAAUAGGGGGCUACUUUUGUGCAAAGCUGAGCAAAUUCAUAGGAGAAUCUGAUGGAGCUGAUGAUCUUGGUCCCGCUGCAAAUAUUAUGGGAUCCUCAAUGAAGCGAACUAAUAUCAAAAUUUAAUUUGGAGGCAUUUAUGGAAUCAGAGUUUUAGUUUGGUAUUAUCUGAUUUAAUCUCGGCGCAUUCGAUGAUGCUACCAAUAUUGUUUGCAUAUCACUAUGAUAGUAUCGAGUUUGCACCAUAUCCUGAUUUGGCAUCAUAAGGAUGCUGUUAGAAGUGAGAUAUUGAAUGGAAUAUUUGGUGGCAAAAAUAAUUGAGGUGUGGCGACCUGCUCGCCCUUCCGGCCCAGUUCCGCGCUGCGGUACCGAAUGGACAGCGCCAUUUGGUGAAGAUGACCCUUGGUAUGGAACCUCUCAGAUUUAACGGUCAUGUAUGUUAACUCACAUGCGGUGCUAAUUUUUAUUUACUGGCGAAGUGGCUAAUUUGUAAAAUUAUGAUUGUGAUUUCACUAUUUCACAACUGUUCAUGUUGGACUCAUGGUAUCUUGA